rnacentral:rRNA from 1 species
UAGGGAAUCUUCCACAAUGGACGCAAGUCUGAUGGAGCAACGCCGCGUGAGUGAAGAAGGGUUUCGGCUCGUAAAGCUCUGUUGUUAAAGAAGAACGUGGGUAAGAGUAACUGUUUACCCAGUGACGGUAUUUAACCAGAAAGCCACGGCUAACGACGUGCCAG